rnacentral:other from 14 species
UUCUAUUUUGCAAAUAUUUUGGGAGACAUUGAUUUUUCCACCCGUGCUCCCCGGUUCUCGCUCGCGGAGUGCGCCGCGCCGCCCAGCCCUGUCGCCCCCCGGAGGUGAGCCCUCGCUCCCGCCUGCCCGCCAGCCUGACCGGUGCCUGGCUCGCGGGCCGCAGCCUCGGCCCCGGCGCGCCCCCGGCCGCUCUCGGCGCGAUG